AUCUUCUUCUUUUUCUUUUUCUGCUUUUUCUCCCCAAAUCCCCCCCUAUACACAGUUGUAUAUUUUCGUUGUGGGUCCUUCUAGUUGUGGCAUGUGGGACGCCGCCUCAACUUGGCCUGACGAGCAGUGUCAUGUCCGCACCCAGGAUCGGAACCAGCAGCAGAGAAAUCCUGCAGCACCGAAGCAUAACCACUCGGCCGCAGGGCGGGCCCUGAAAUAAUUUUUGACAUAACUUUCCCAAAGUCGGGCUCUUAAGCUCUCCAUUACCAAGGAAAAGGAUUUCCACUCAAUUAGAUCACGGAGCAGGGGAUUAUGCAGUUUGAGUCCCAAGAUGUGAAAGACUUGAAGAGACUGUGGAGGGAAAACUAAGUGAAGACGAGAAUGCCUGUGCCAUGACAUGCUAGCACCGUGGUGGUGUCCAUUACGAGCAGUCAAGAUGAGAAAACUAAGGACCAGAAGUG
rnacentral:lncRNA from 1 species